ACGCUCGACACCUACGGGGGACAGCAGUGGGGAAUAUUGCACAAUGGGGGAAACCCUGAUGCAGCGACGCCGCGUGGAGGAAGAAGGUCUUCGGAUUGUAAACUCCUGUUGUUGGGGAAAAAGAGGAUGGUACCCAACAAGGAAGUGACGGCUAACUACGUGCCAACAGCCGCGGUAAUCUGAGCGGGCUGGCAAGGC
rnacentral:rRNA from 1 species